CAGCAACUGCCUGGGCUAAAAAUACAGAAUCCACCAUAAGAAGAAAAAGUAUGUACCAAGCGGGAAAGAAAGAGAAAUUGGGAAGUCUCCCAAAGGAAGAUCAUUGGCAGGAAUCAACCUGCAAAGACAAGGAAGGAGGUUGAUCUUGUGGAAAACUUUUUCCCAUGGGGCAAUGUGCUCAGAUGUUGUCACCUGUAAUGAAAGAGCCAUCUGGUACCAUCAUGGGAGCCAGCCUAAGAGGACAAACCAAACUGCUGAAGAUGACAGAGUAGAAAGAUGGAUGGAUAGUGGGUCCUUGAUGACAUCACAGCCACUGAAUUAACCAACGUUGGAAGUUCUCCGACUCUGGGCAUCUCCUUAAGAGAUAAAAUAAAUAAUCUGUUGUUUACUUGUUGUUUAUGCCAUUUGUCUUUGUUUUUUUUUAACUUGCAGCUGAAAGCAUCGUAAGGGAUAAAGUCAACUCACAGGGUCUAAAGCAUUGCAUCUCUCAGAAUCCCAUCAUGGAAUCCCAUAAUAGAAUUAUUUCUCUGGGAGAGCUAUGAAAUAAAAAAUUAAUAACAGUAAAAAAGAUAAAAAAUAAUAAAAUCAUCAUCAUUGUUAUCGUUAGGCAUCAUGGAAUGCAUAAGUUUUCGAAUAAAAUACAUCUACAUUUAAAAUCCAGCUUUUCAUCUUGCCAGCGUAAGGAAAUUAGUUAACCUCUCUGAUAUUGACACCUCAUGUUUUAAAGGGAACUGAUAUAACAAUAGUUUGCAAGGUUGUUGUAUGAAAUAUAAUAAUGUAUAUAAAGCAUCUGGAACCAAUAACUGGUAGUUCUGUCUAUUGGUCUCAAUUUUCUCAUUUAUAAAAUUGGUAUAAUAAAACUUAGCUCAUAUGGUAUAUGUGAGGCUUAAAAGAGGUCAUAAUCAGUACCUUAUACGUAACUAUAAUAGUUUUUUGGAGGUUGGAGAAUGGAGUGACCAAAUUGACCAGGGAGUGAAAUGAGGGCAUUGCUAUCUGUUGAGGGUGUUGGGAGACACCAGCAGAGCUCUGAAUGUUAGGAGAGGUGCACCACAGGAGGGGCAGAGGGCCCAAAGUCAGCCGUUACCUUCUGCAAUAUUUGACCAGGGGCUAGCUCUCCUUGGAACUAGAAAUCGGGAAGCAAGAUUCAUGUUAUAGACCUCCAG
rnacentral:lncRNA from 1 species